ACGCUGACCUCUCCUGGCUGUGCCUGU
rnacentral:piRNA from 1 species